rnacentral:rRNA from 1 species
GACUACAGGGGUAUCUAAUCCCGUUUGCUCCCCUGGCUUUCGUGCCUCAGUGUCAGGAAUCAUCCAGAGACUCGCCUUCGCCACAGGUGUUCCUCUCGAUAUCUACGCAUUUCACUGCUACACCGAGAAUUCCAGUCUCCCCUCUGAUCCUCUAGCAGGAUAGUUUUCGAGGCAAUUUUCGGGUUGAGCCCGAAGAUUUCACCCUGAACUUACCCUACCACCUACGCACCCUUUACGCCCAGUAAAUCCGAACAACGCUUGGGACCUCUGUAUUACCGCGGCUGCUGGCACAGAGUUAGCCGUCCCUUCCUCUUCUGCUACUUUCAAUCCGAGAUCUUUUAAAUCCCAGAGUUUAUUCGCAAAUGACAGGGGUUUACGGGCCGAAGCCAUUCAUCCCCCACGCGGCGUCGCUCCAUCAGGCUUUCGCCCAUUGUGAAAAAUUCUCGACUGCAGCCCCCCGUAGG